CCUGGAUCAAACGAGGAUAAGAGUGGAUGAGAGUUGGCAAGCGAGGGUUUGCACGAGAGUUUCCUCAACUUUCAUGCCCGGUCAAACGAGAACAAGAGUUGCGUGGAUAUUACCACGCGCGUAGCGAAAACUCUCAUCAACUCUCAUCUAAAUUUGAACCAGCUCAACGUUGAUGAGAAUGCUUGAGAGUCGAUGAGAGUUGGUGGUUAAACGCGAGCGAGAGUAGCAACUCUCAUCCUUGAGAUUUUUCUCAAUUUUCGUUUCCCAGUCAAACGAGAACAAGAGUUGCAUGAGAGUUUUCUCAACUUUCGUUCCCCGGUCAAACGAGAACUCUUUAGAGUUACAUGAGAGUUGCCACACUGUAAAUUUGAAAGAG
rnacentral:lncRNA from 1 species